rnacentral:rRNA from 1 species
CCUACGGGAGGCAGCAGUGGGGAAUUUUGGACAAUGGGCGCAAGCCUGAUCCAGCAAUGCCGCGUGCAGGAUGAAGGCCUUCGGGUUGUAAACUGCUUUUGUACGGAACGAAACGGUGAGCUCUAAUAAAGUUUGCUAAUGACGGUACCGUAAGAAUAAGCACCGGCUAACUACGUGCCAGCAGCCGCGGUAAUACGUAGGGUGCGAGCGUUAAUCGGAAUUACUGGGCGUAAAGCGUGCGCAGGCGGUUAUAUAAGACAGAUGUGAAAUCCCCGGGCUCAACCUGGGACCUGCAUUUGUGACUGUAUAGCUAGAGUACGGUAGAGGGGGAUGGAAUUCCGCGUGUAGCAGUGAAAUGCGUAGAUAUGCGGAGGAACACCGAUGGCGAAGGCAAUCCCCUGGACCUGUACUGACGCUCAUGCACGAAAGCGUGGGGAGCAAACAGGAUUAGAUACCCUGGUAGUCCACGCCCUAAACGAUGUCAACUGGUUGUUGGGUCUUCACUGACUCAGUAACGAAGCUAACGCGUGAAGUUGACCGCCUGGGGNGCGCGCGAGUAGAGAGAAGAGUAGNGNGNGAGAGNGCGACGACGACGACGAGGGAGGAGG